CUCAUGGUGGCUUAGUGGUUAGCCCGUUCGCCUCACACCUCCAGGGUCCAGGGUUCGAUUCCCGCCGGGGCCAUGAGU